rnacentral:rRNA from 1 species
GACGAACGCUGGCGGCGUGCUUAACACAUGCAAGUCGAACGGAAAGGCCCUGCUUUUGUGGGGUGCUCGAGUGGCGAACGGGUGAGUAACACGUGAGUAACCUGCCCUUGACUUUGGGAUAACUUCAGGAAACUGGGGCUAAUACCGGGUAGGAGCUCCUGCUGCAUGGUGGGGGUUGGAAAGUUUCGGCGGUUGGGGAUGGACUCGCGGCUUAUCAGCUUGUUGGUGGGGUAGUGGCUUACCAAGGCUUUGACGGGUAGCCGGCCUGAGAGGGUGACCGGCCACAUUGGGACUGAGAUACGGCCCAGACUCCUACGGGAGGCAGCAGUGGGGAAUAUUGCACAAUGGGCGGACGCCUGAUGCAGAAACGCCGCGUGCGGGAUGCCGGCCUUCGGGUUGUAAACCGCUUUCGCCUGUGACGAAGCGUGAGUGACGGUAAUGGGUAAAGAAGCACCGGCUAACUACGUG